rnacentral:rRNA from 1 species
UACGAAGGGGGCUAGCGUUGCUCGGAAUCACUGGGCGUAAAGGGUGCGUAGGCGGGUCUUAAGUCAGGGGUGAAAUCCUGGAGCUCAACUCCAGAACUGCCUUCGAUACUGAGGAUCUUGAGUCCGGGAGAGGUGAGUGGAACUGCGAGUGUAGAGGUGAAAUUCGUAGAUAUUCGCAAGAACACCAGUGGCGAAGGCGGCUCACUGGCCCGGUACUGACGCUGAGGUGCGAAAGCGUGGGGAGCAAACAGG